CCCGCUUAGCAAGACAGCCCGGUAAGGUAGGUAAGCAGGAUGAUUUCUCUUGUGUUUAUUUGAGAAAAUUUCAUUCCGCUUACCGGGACAAUUUUGUUGUUUUGACAUUAUUUUGACAGUUGUUAAAAAUAGCUUGCGGCAGUAUCUUUGAACUUUCAUCCCGGCAACCGGGCUAGCCGGCUUAUGAUUGUUUAUGUGGAGAAAUUUCCAUCCUGGUCUUGGCAACCGGGCCUGCCCGCUUGUCCAUAGAAAUGAUAAUUUGUACUAUAAAAAUAACUAGACAGCGAGAUCUCACUUACCGGGCUGUCUCACUUAGCGGGCCAGCCAGUUUCGAUAUAAACAGGCCCUUGCACAACUGCUAAAAGCUGCAAGUUUCUUUAAAGCAAUAUCAUCUAUAUCACAGAAUACAGUUUCUGUAGUGACAUACUUCGUGUUUUUUCUGUCUUUAAAGUGUCUUAUGUUUGUAAUAUUUUUGUACAAUACCUUUUUGAAAUUGUUGAUACUGGUCUCAUUGUAACUCAG